rnacentral:rRNA from 1 species
AAUCAACGCUGGCGGCGCGCCUAACACAUGCAAGUCGAACGAGAAAGUGGAGCAAUCCAUGAGUAAAGUGGCGUACGGGUGAGUAACACGUGGAUAAUCUGCCCUUUAGUGGGAGUACGUUGGAACGACGACAAUACGCAUAAGCUCGAGAGAGGAAAGGACAGCAAUGCGCUGAAGGAGGAGUCCGCGGUCGAUUAGCUAGUUGGUGAGGUAAUGGCNCACCAAGGCUGUGAUCGAUAGCCGGCCUGAGAGGGCGAC